GCCCCGGUAGUUCAACGGAUAGAAUAGAAGCCUUCUAAGCUUUAGAUUCAGGUUCGAUUCCUGGCCGGGGCACCA
rnacentral:tRNA from 1 species